rnacentral:lncRNA from 1 species
GACCUCUGGAGAGGGCUAAAGAGGUCUGGGGUUUCAUGAGACGGCAGCUACCAAUCUCUACUCAUCACCUUCCACUCCCUCUAAAGGAUUUGACUGAGUUAGAAGAAUCAAAGAGGAUUCUUCAAUGUGAAGAUGCCAGGCGUGUGAUGGUUGGCCGUGUUGCUGUGGUGGGAGGAGCAUCAGUUGAGGCACAUGGGAUGCUGGGCUGUAGUCUAACCAAUGAGCCUUCUCUCAGAUGAACUGGGCAGCAGGAGACUGAAAGGUGAGCCUGAACAAAAAAAAACUCAUUUAGAGGCACCAGGUGUGCAUGUUUGGUUAGUCCACAUGGGUCCUUUGAUCCUAAAUCCUAAAAUGGGAACAGAGCGAGGCCGGAGGAGUUAAUGAGAAUGAGCGACACCUGCUCCACUCACCGGUCUCGAGUCCCACGGAGGAGCUCCUGAAGGAGAAAGGGAGGAGGACGACAGUGAAGGACAAGAGAGGACAUGGGUUUUAUUUUGUGUUUUGAUUUUGUUUGUGCGUGACAGUCGUCCACCUCCUUCUUCCCAUGACUUUGAACAUUGUUACAUUGUUACAGUUAGCAGCUGAUGGUAACCAUUGACUUCCAUAGUAGGGAACAUAUCUUCACAUAUCAUCUUCUGUGUUCAACAGAAGAAAGAAUCUCAUACAGAUUUGGAACAUUUGUGUAUUGAGUAUAUACUCCAUAUCGAGUUUGUAUGAUAUAUUGAUAUAUAACUUAUAAACUAUGUAGGAUGAGCCAUUUAAAUCAUUAAACACUAGGCUAAUAUUACAAGCAUCUGAAAAAUAGAGGACACAGAAUGAGCUGCUGUGUGGAAAGAGCAUAAUACAUUGUCCCAAACAUGAAACAUGCUUUAUAUUGUGUUUCAAAAUAAUAUGAAUAGUAUUGUGUUUUUUGAAAAAUACAGACUGUAAAAUGCACUGUUGUGUUCCCAGAUGUAUUGUAAACCAACUCCACAUGCCGAGGUGCAAUAGGGCUCGAACGAGAAGAAGCAGAGUUGGGAGAAAGAAAAAUUAUGUUAAAAUCGCGAAAAUUUUAACGGUUUGGAUCCAUAUGUUCCCAACAAAGAGUGGAGUACCAAUGACGACUUGCUGCUGCACUUUUGCAUUAUAGAUAUCUUCGGCUAUCUUGUUUGUUUUGUGAGCGCCUACACUUCAGAAUACUUCUGAAGCUACAAGUCAUUGAAGUCUCAUGUACAGUUCACAAAUGGAUGGUUUCAGGAGCUGCAGAUCAUAACGCCGGCAAACAGUACACAGUAACCCGGACAAAGGAAACUGCGCUCCGCCUAGCUGCUAGUUUAGUAACUGUUAAUGCUAACAACCGUUUACAUGUACAUUUAACUAUGUAUUUCAAAAGUGUAGUUACUUGCUCUCAACCCUCCCGUUUUUUCCGGGGUUCUUAGGUAUUUGAGCGCUUUUCCCGCUGUCUUCCCGUUUUAGUAUUUUCCUGUAAAAUAUCCCGUUAACUUAGCCCUUCCAUCUGACCUGUCAAGUCUCUGUGUUGUUGUCCUGUUGCUACCCCCUUGCCCUUCCAGCAAAACAGUUGUUUUGCUAACUUGAAAGCAACCUUGGCAUGUUGGGCUUUUUAAGAUAGCGUGGUUGUUACGAGAGCACGAUUUCACGCCGAUCUGUAAGUAAAGUCAUGUCAGACCUAGCUUUACAACUCGCUUAGUUACUGAAUUUUUGCUGUCAGCAGAGGGAUAGCAACAGAAAGAUGAAUGUUAAACAUAUGCGUAUUUUAGAUGAGUAACCAGGGUAAUUUCCCUUUUUUU